UUUGUUAACUUGAGAGGUAUUUUUGUCUUUAACUUUCAACCUAGGAUCACUGCCCUCGAGUGAUCUUGAAUUUCCGAUCUCAAGGAUGGGUAUCCCAUCACCGAGUUGGGGGAUGAUUUGAGGAGUGGAGGUGAUUUAAGAUCAUCGCCAUAUAGGAUCACCGUGGUGCAACCAAAUGCGGUGAUUUCAUCACUUCCACCCACAUCACCCUUGAUCCUAGGACGAUUAUCCCAUACUAAACGCC
rnacentral:lncRNA from 1 species